AAUAUAUUGGUGAGACAGGGGAUUUUCUACGCAAACGAAUAACUGUUCACCGACAACAGAUAAGGGACAAAAAUACACGAAUGCUAUAUGUAAGUGAACAUAUCGACAUAUGUAAUGGACAAAGACAACCAUCAUUUAUGAUCUUUUCAUUAUAUAAAUUACAAUCUACAAACGCGAUUUUAAGAAAAUAAAAAGAACAAUACAAUUUUUUAUCAAUAUAUUUAAACCAGAGCUUAAUUCAAGACAUAUCUAACUAUCACAAAUAAAUAGUUGAGAGUAACGUCCCUUCAUUUUGACGUCAUUUGACGUCGUUCCUAUGCGACGUUAUUGACGUUAUUAUCACUCCUGAAGAUCUGCACAAGCAGUGAAACCGGUAUAGUUCUUUUAUAUUUGUUAUUGGACAGAAUCGGAAUAAACCAAAUACUACGAGACGUGUUGCCAAAAGCAGUUAACUCAGUGUCGUAUUGAUUGUCAUCGAGUGCGAAGGAAUUCAACGAAAAGUGACUACUUCUGAAAACUUGAGAUAAUUAAUUUGAAAUAAAUGAAAUAAACAUUUGCAGACAAUGGUUCAUACAUUAUUUUUACUUCAUUUGGUGUGUAGCAUACAUGUAUGAAGACUUUUUCUUGUAUAGCAGACGGGAAUUUCCAGUGUUCACCGGUGCUAGAAAACUCCAUCUUACACCCGGGGGUGUAAAAUAACUCUCGUAAAGUAAAUGGUGUAUACAGAACUACAUCCAUGUAUAAGAUUUAAGCAGGAUUUUAUUACAUAAAACGGAAAAAAAUACUUAGAUACUUCCUCUAAGUUCCUUAUAAUAUAUUUCUCGAUUGAAAAACGUUAUAUCUAAAAUACAUAAUGUUCCACAGCAAAAGAUUAAACAAAACCGGAGCUAAACAUUGAAAUUUGUCUUUGUAACGUCAUUACGUAUUUCCUAUUUAUGGACGUCGAUUUCCCGCUUUGAAUGCGCUGCUAUAAGAAAAUAGUGCUGAAUAUGGUUUGCAAAAAAAAAGAUUCGACCACUAUCAUCUUAACAGUUACCCACGAGCCAGGUAUUCCCAUAUGUACCUGCAACCAGUAAAAGAAUCAUAUGAUUUUAAAUAAACCGAUGCAAAUAUCUAAAACAGACCUGGGACGAAAAAUCUGAUAAUGACCAAUUUGAAAAUGAUGUAUUUCGCAAUCUUUUUGUUUUGUUUUGUUUGGUUGUCGCACAGGCAAAAUAAAGAUGUUAUAGCGACCUCUGUUAUGUUAGAGUAACAUAUCUGGUGCCCCUCGAUCUUUUUUGCAGGCAUUGACGGGCAUCUGAGUCGGACCAUAAA
rnacentral:lncRNA from 1 species